GCACUACAUUAGUUUCUGGGAAACAAAAAAGAUUCAUGGAGAUUGUUAUUCAAGAUCAUGAAUCCGGAACCUGUUGUGUUGAUAAUUCAGAUGUGUCGUGCAAAAAUGUAUAAUGGUGAGGUUUCAAUCACAAAUACAUUUGGUGCCACUAAGCUUGUGAUGGAU